rnacentral:rRNA from 1 species
UACGAGGGGUGCAAGCGUUGCUCGGAAUUAUUGGGCGUAAAGGGUAGGUAGGUGGUCUCAUUUGUCUGGGGUGAAAGCCUUGAGCUUAACUCAAGAAGUGCCCCGGAAACGGUGAGACUGGAGUCCUGGAGAGGGUCGUGGAAUUCCCGGUGUAGCGGUGAAAUGCGUAGAGAUCGGGAGGAACACCAGAGGCGAAGGCGGCGACCUGGACAGGCACUGACACUCAACUACGAAAGCGUGGGGAGCAAACAGG